UACGAAGGGGGCUAGCGUUGUUCGGAUUUACUGGGCGUAAAGCGCACGUAGGCGGAUCGUUAAGUCGGGGGUGAAAUCCUGGAGCUCAACUCCAGAACUGCCUUCGAUACUGGCGAUCUAGAGUCCGGAAGAGGUGAGUGGAACUCCUAGUGUAGAGGUGGAAUUCGUAGAUAUUAGGAAGAACACCAGUGGCGAAGGCGGCUCACUGGUCCGGUACUGACG
rnacentral:rRNA from 1 species